UUGUGUACUGGUCCCAGCUUUCAUAAUGAUGGUACGUCUGUUGGUGGUAGGAUUUCUUUUCUGUUAAAUAGCCGUAACUAUUGGUACGAUAUUUGUUCCAGUCUAUUGGAGUGGUUUGAAUUGAGAAUUAAUUGUGCUAUUGAAUCCGAUAGGUAUAAAUCACUUUCCUAAAUUUCUGAUGUUUUUUCUUUCUUUUCUGGGUAGGUCACUGAUGAUUUUCCGGAGAUAAUCCUAAAUGUAGGUUUCUUUGUACUGUCCCAUUUU
rnacentral:lncRNA from 1 species